UACGUAGGGUGCAAGCGUUGUCCGGAAUUACUGGGCGUAAAGAGUUCGUAGGCGGUUUGUCGCGUCGUUUGUGAAAACUCACAGCUCAACUGUGAGCCUGCAGGCGAUACGGGCAGACUUGAGUACUGCAGGGGAGACUGGAAUUCCUGGUGAUAGCGGGUGGAAAUACGCAGAUAUCAGGAGGAACACCGGUGGCGAAGGCGGGUCUCUGGGCAGUAAACUGACGCUGGAGGAAACGAAAGCGUGGGUAGCAAACAGG
rnacentral:rRNA from 1 species